UACAAUGGCCGGUACAAAGAGAAGCGAGGCUGUGAAGCGGAGCAAAUCUCAAAAACCGGUCCCAGUUCGGAUUGUAGGCUGCAACUCGCCUACAUGAAGUCGGAGUUGCUAGUAAUCGCGGAUCAGAAUGCCGCGGUGAAUGCGUUCCCGGGUCUUGUACACACCGCCCGUCACACCAUGGAAGUUGGGGGCGCCCGAAGUUGCCUAAGAAAUAAGGUACCUAAGGCGAAACCAAUGACUGGGGUGAAGUCGUAACAAGGUACC
rnacentral:rRNA from 1 species